rnacentral:rRNA from 1 species
CCUACGGGACGCAGCAGUAGGGAAUCUUCCACAAUGGGCGAAAGCCUGAUGGAGCAACGCCGCGUGGGUGAAGAAGGUCUUCGGAUCGUAAAACCCUGUUGUUAGAGAAGAAAGUGCGUGAGAGUAACUGUUCACGUUUCGACGGUAUCUAACCAGCAAGCCACGGCUAACUACGUGCCAGCAGCCGCGGUAAUACGCAGGUGGUAAGCGUUAUCCGGAUUUAUUGGGCGGAAAGGGAACGCAGGAGGUCAUUUAAGUCUGAUGUGAAAGUCUUUGGUUUAA